CCUACGGGAGGCAGCAGUAAGGAAUCUUCCACAAUGGACGAAAGUCUGAUGGAGCAACGCCGCGUGCAGGAUGAAGGCUUUCGGGUCGUAAACUGCUUUUAUAUGGGAAGAUUAUGACGGUACCAUAUGAAUAAGGACCGGCUAACUACGUGCCAGCAGCCGCGGUAAUACGUAGGGUCCAAGCGAUAUCCGGAAUUACUGGGCGUAAAGCGUGUGUAGGUGGAUUAAUAAGUGUGAUGCGAAAUCCGGCGGCUCAACCGUUUGGACUGUGUCGCAUACUGUUAGUCUAGAGGACGGCAGAGGUAAGUGGAAUUACGGGUGUAGCAGUGAAAUGCGUAGAUAUCCGUAGGAACACCAAUGGCGAAGGCAGCUUACUGGGCCACACCUGACACUGAGACACGAAAGCGUGGGGAGCGAACAGGAUUAGAUACCCUGGUAGUCCACGCCGUAAACGAUGCAUACUAUUAGUAUGGGGUAUCGACCCCCUGUGCUGAGAAGCUAACGCGAUAAGUAUGCCGCCGNGGGAGGAGAGCGCGAGAACUAAACUACAAGAAGUAGUUAGCGNGNGAGNGCGACGACGACGACGAGGAGGAGG
rnacentral:rRNA from 1 species